UGUUUUAUACUGACAGUGGGUUGGGUGGAUGAAUGUUGGCAUGUGUCACAACAGAGGCAUGUGACUGAAGACGUGGACUGCUGAGAGACAGAGAUCCUUGUCAGUGUAUUUUGUGAAAAGGCACAAACAACGGAAAGGAUCAAGUGUCAUGUCAUCCAGAUUUCUGCAUCAAGGAUGACUGACCACUGCACCGAUGACACAUUUUUAACUGCUUCCUUGUCUUCCUGAGAGAAAAUCAUUACAAUAAAACAAUUUGAAUGUGAAAGCAACAAGUGUUUUAAGGUUGCAGAAAAAAGAACAUCUGAAGCCGCAGUGUAAAUAUCUGAUGCAACGUAACUAUUUUUGUGCAAGUACAGUGGAGCGACAACCAAUACAGAACACCCAGUGGACUGAAACACUGGCCUCUUUCACCUGUAGGUCACUAAGCUGAGCUUUUCAGACUUUGCACUCAUUUUUACACAGAUUUAAUUGAUUGGGGUCUUUCUCAAAAUGGCCAGACAAUUACAACCACAUUUGUCGUAUCUACUAUACAGACUAAGUGAAACCGGGAGAUUAUUUAUUAACCUGUAUGAUGUUAAGGGAAAAAGAAUGCAAGCCAUUGUAGGUGAGCUUGGCGAGAUAGCUGGAGAAGUGAAAGAGAUGCAGGAAGACACAAACAAAACUAUAAAGAUCUGCGCAGUUUUUGGAGGACUUGGAAUUGUGGUAGUAGCUGCAGUUUUGUUAGGACAUGGGUUAUUAGGCGGUGAAGGAGCAGCAAAUAUGGCAGCACUUGGAAUGGCUAUAGCAUUUGGUGGAGGUGCAGCUAUUAUCACAGUACGUGUAAUCGCGGCACUGACAGAGAAAAUAAGAAUAACAACUGUGGAACAGUUGGUAAAAGAAUUCAUGACAUUAGUUGAACUACAAAAGAAUGUCCUGGAUGAAAUUAACAUGGUGUCUGAGGCGUUGCAUGAAAAAUCAUCCUCAUUAAUGACAACAACGGGAGCACAGGCAAAAACAAUUCUGAUGAAAACACAACAACUUCAGCUGCUUCUUAGGCAAGCAGCUGAACUGGCAAAAAGGAGCAAGGAAGUUAUGGAUGUGACUCUGACCAUACAGUGGGGAGUGAGGGAACUGUUAAACUCCAUUAUCAAUAUCAUUCCAAUCCCUGAGGAGGAUGCAGAGUUAAGAAACUGCAUCACCAGUUCAGCCUUCCAGUGUGCGAUAACUGCUACUGAGUUUGCAAAGAUGAGGAAUAUGCUCAAGGACUUUGAAGAAAUGUAAACAGAAGGGGAAUGUGCAACAUUUAAAUAAAGGACUAAUGUGUACAUCAGCAGCGCAGUUUAUCGCCAGCAUCUAAUCGGACCCAAGUGGCAUUUGUGGGUACGUUUACAUCCUGUUUAAUGUGUUGGCGCUGAUCACCUAAUUAGCUACCUAGCCUGAAAACUGACUUUAGCAGUGCACUUUUCCCCGCUGAAUGUUUGGUCGCUUGUUCAACAAGCUAAGGUGCAGGACGUGUGUUCAUGUUUGUAAGUUAGAAAAAAAAGAGACUUCAGCAGGAAAGCUAAUGUGGUUGUUGUUCAGAGUCUCAGAAUGCAAAAAUUGGUUGGUAACAUCAUGAAACCAAAAGAUAUAAAAUAUAAAUGUCUCCCUUUUGGUUUUGAUUUUUUUUGUUUUCAAAGGAGAACACGGGACAUGUGGUUUACAGAGCAGAUAUGUAUGCUAUAGCAGACCAAAAAAGAUGCUAUUUAUUUGCAGUUGGACUAUUAGUUGGACUUCAUAGAUGAAUUUAAGGACACACAAUUUACUGUAUAUAUUUGGAGCAAUAGAGUCUAUAAAGUGCUAUAUAAAUAAAGUUUCACUUAUUUUUACUUAC